rnacentral:rRNA from 1 species
UACGUAGGGGGCUAGCGUUGUCCGGAAUCAUUGGGCGUAAAGAGCGUGUAGGCGGCCAAGCAGGUCAGCUGUGAAAACUCGAGGCUCAACCUCGAGACGUCGGUUGAAACCGCUUGGCUAGAGUCCGGAAGAGGAGAGUGGAAUUCCCGGUGUAGCGGUGAAAUGCGCAGAUAUCGGGAAGAACACCCGUGGCGAAGGCGGCUCUCUGGGACGGUACUGACGCUGAGACGCGAAAGCGUGGGGAGCGAACAGG